UGGUUUAUUGUUUAGUAGUAGAAUUCUCGCCUUCCAUGCGGGAGACCUGGGUUCGAUUCCCGGCCAA
rnacentral:tRNA from 1 species